rnacentral:lncRNA from 1 species
AUUAAGAUUGACCUACCCAUCAUUGAUAGAUGAAUUAUGUUGGGAAUAGUCUAAUUCAUGAUAAGAUUUGAUCAACCAAAUUAAAUUGUAACUUGCCAUGUUAGUUAAAAGGGCAUACUACCUAUUAACUCACUCAAGUUUAUUUAAUUUAGGGUCAAAAUCAAGAGAUCAAAGUUAACCUACUCAAAGGUGACGAACAAUUUGUGUCAAGAAAAGCCCACUUCACUAUAUAU